rnacentral:rRNA from 1 species
AAUAGAUACCCAGGUAGUCCACGCCGUAAACGAUGAGUGCUAAGUGUUAGAGGGUUUCCGCCCUUUAGUGCUGCAGCUAACGCAUUAAGCACUCCGCCUGGGGAGUACGGCCGCAAGGCUGAAAACUCAAAGGAAUUGACGGGGGCCCGCACAAGCGGUGGAGCAUGUGGUUUAAUUCGAAGCAACGCGAAGAACCUUACCAGGUCUUGACAUCCUCUGCCAACCCUAGAGAUAGGGCGUUCCCCUUCGGGGGACAGAGUGACAGGUGGUGCAUGGUUGUCGUCAGCUCGUGUCGUGAGAUGUUGGGUUAAGUCCCGCAACGAGCGCAACCCUUGAUCUUAGUUGCCAGCAUUCAGUUGGGCACUCUAAGGUGACUGCCGGUGACAAACCGGAGGAAGGUGGGGAUGACGUCAAAUCAUCAUGCCCCUUAUGACCUGGGCUACACACGUGCUACAAUGGAUGGUACAAAGAGUUGCGAACCCGCGAGGGUAAGCCAAUCUCAUAAAGCCAUUCUCAGUUCGGA